AUUGAACGCUAGCGGGAGGCUUUACACAUGCAAGUCGAACGAGUGGCGGACGGGUGAGUAAUAUAUGGGAACGUGCCCAGUAGCGGGGGAUAACUACUCGAAAGUGUGGCUAAUCCCGCAUACUAUUGGAGCGGCCGAUAUCGGAUUAGCUAGUUGGUGGGGUAAAGGCGCACCAAGGCAACGAUCCGUAGCUGGUGUGAGAGGACGACCAGCCACACUGGGACUGAGACACGGCCCAGACUCCUACGGGAGGCAGCAGUGGGGAAUUUUGGACAAUGGGGGAAACCCUGAUCCAGCCAUCCCGCGUGUAUGAGAAGGCCUUCGGGUUGUAAAGUACUUUCGGUCGAGAAGCGGUAUCUGCAGAAUAAGCACCGGCUAACUACGUGCCAGCCGCCGCGGUAAUAC
rnacentral:rRNA from 1 species